rnacentral:sRNA from 1 species
UUUAGAAGAUGACACAUAACUUUAAUUUUGUAAGCUCUUUAGUUUCUAAGUGCCUCCUGAGUGGCUCAGCUUUGGAUGCCACAGAGGAAAAAAACAUAUAUAUGUAUAUAAGCGAGAGGGUGGGAAAGAAGUUAAAGUUAAUUAUUUUAGGAGUGGUGUGGAAUGAUGGCAAAGUCAGUCAGGUUUUUUUUGUGUCCUUUUUGUAGAAGAAAUAAGAUUUGCUGUUACGUGGUGCAGAGGUUGGCAAAGUCUGACCUUUGGGCUAAAUCUGGCCUGCUCUCUAUUUUUACAUUUAUAAGCAAAGUGUUACUGAAACAGACACACCCGUUGGUUUGUAGGAUGUAUAUUGCUGCUUUUGCCUUACGAUGGCAGAAUCAAGUAGUUGAAACAGAGAGUAUAUGACCUGCAUAGAUGAAACUAUUUACUCUCUGGCCCAUUACAAAAGUUUAACCCUGAUCUAGUUAUGAAAAAUUACCUAAAUUUUUCCAAGUUGAAGACGAUCAAUGUAUGAAUUUUUAUAGAAGUGUUACAUUUUUUACAAAGGUUAUGUCAUAUGGAAAAAGCUACUAAUUUGAAUCUGUUUCAUUUUUCAUUUAAUUUCUGAUAAAAGGUUAUCUUUGGAGUUUACCAAUUUUUGACGUUCGUGAUUUUUAAAAUAUUUUCUCUGAAUAGACCACUUUGCACUGAAUUGUGAAUUUUUUUGCUAUCCUCUUUCACUCGGAAACAUGCCAACUAUGAGUUCAUUUCUUUCUAGAAUGAAGCAUAGAAUUUUCUGUAUGUGUAUUAUCAUAAUGAAGAAUUAUAAAAUAUAUUUGAUAGCUAUUUCUAAUAAUGUUUCCUGGGGGGCUUUGAAUUGAACUUUGUCUUUCAGGAUCUCAGCCAUGUGAACUAAAUGUGGAUUGACAGGUUAUACUUUUUUUUUACUUUUUGAAGACAACAAUAUGCACAGGUUUUGGCCCAACAGCAGAAAGCAGCCCUGUCUUCCCAGCAGCAGCAGCAGUUGGCACUUCUUCUUCAACAGUUUCAGACCCUGAAGAUGAGAAUAUCUGAUCAGAACAUCAUUCCCUCAGUAACUAGGUCUGUGUCCGUGCCAGAUACUGGCUCUAUCUGGGAGCUUCAGCCAACAGCUUCACAGCCUACAGUUUGGGAAGGUGGUAGUGUAUGGGAUCUUCCUCUGGACACCACGACACCAGGCCCUGCCCUGGAACAGCUUCAGCAGCUAGAGAAGGCCAAAGCUGCAAAGCUAGAGCAAGAGAGAAGAGAGGCAGAAAUGAGGGCAAAACGGGAAGAGGAAGAGCGAAAGAGGCAAGAAGAACUCCGAAGACAACAGGAAGAAAUUCUUCGGCGACAGCAGGAAGAAGAAAGGAAAAGGCGAGAGGAAGAAGAACUUGCCCGAAGGAAACAGGAAGAGGCUCUACGUCGCCAGCGGGAGCAAGAAAUUGCAUUAAGGCGACAGCGAGAAGAGGAAGAAAGACAGCAGCAAGAAGAAGCUCUUAGAAGACUGGAAGAGAGGAGAAGAGAAGAGGAAGAAAGGCGGAAGCAGGAAGAAUUGUUACGCAAACAGGAAGAGGAGGCUGCAAAAUGGGCCCGGGAAGAAGAAGAAGCCCAGCGUCGAUUAGAGGAGAACCGGCUGCGGAUGGAAGAGGAGGCAGCCAGACUCCGGCAUGAGGAAGAAGAACGGAAGAGGAAGGAGCUGGAGGUCCAGCGGCAGAAGGAGUUAAUGCGCCAGAGGCAGCAGCAGCAAGAGGCUCUCCGGAGGUUGCAGCAGCAGCAGCAGCAACAACAGCUGGCGCAGAUGAAGCUUCCUUCUUCUUCAACGUGGGGCCAGCAGUCCAAUACAACAGCAUGUCAGUCCCAGGCCACGCUGUCGUUGGCUGAAAUCCAAAAACUAGAGGAAGAACGAGAACGGCAGCUUCGAGAAGAGCAAAGGCGCCAGCAGAGGGAGUUGAUGAAAGCUCUUCAGCAGCAGCAGCAGCAGCAACAGCAGAAACUCUCAGGUUGGGGGAAUGUCAGCAAACCUUCAGGUACCACGAAAUCUCUUCUGGAGAUCCAGCAGGAAGAGGCCAGGCAAAUGCAAAAGCAGCAGCAGCAGCAGCAGCAGCACCAGCAACCAAACAGAGCUCGUAACAAUACGCAUUCCAACCUGCACACCAGCAUUGGGAAUUCUGUUUGGGGCUCUAUAAAUACUGGUCCUCCUAACCAGUGGGCAUCUGACCUAGUCAGUAGUAUUUGGAGUAAUGCUGACACUAAAAACUCCAACAUGGGAUUCUGGGAUGAUGCAGUGAAAGACGUGGGACCUAGGAAUUCAACAAAUAAAAAUAAAAACAACGCCAGUCUCAGUAAAUCUGUAGGUGUGUCUAACCGGCAGAAUAAGAAAGUAGAAGAAGAAGAAAAGUUGCUGAAGCUCUUUCAGGGAGUAAAUAAAGCCCAAGAUGGAUUUACGCAGUGGUGUGAACAGAUGCUUCAUGCCCUUAAUACGGCAAAUAACUUGGAUGUUCCCACAUUUGUUUCUUUCCUGAAAGAAGUAGAAUCUCCUUAUGAGGUCCAUGAUUAUAUCAGGGCCUAUUUAGGAGAUACUUCUGAGGCCAAGGAGUUUGCCAAGCAGUUCCUUGAGCGCCGUGCCAAACAGAAAGCCAACCAGCAGCGUCAGCAGCAGCAGCAACAGCAGCCGCCACAGCAGCAGCAGCAGCAGCAGCCGCCGCAGCAGCAGCAGCAGCCACAACAGCAGGACUCUGUGUGGGGGAUGAACCACAGUACACUCCAUUCAGUAUUUCAGACCAAUCAAAGCAACAACCAACAAUCCAAUUUUGAGGCUGUGCAGAGUGGCAAGAAGAAGAAAAAGCAGAAGAUGGUCCGAGCAGAUCCCAGUUUAUUAGGAUUUUCAGUCAAUGCAUCAUCGGAACGACUCAACAUGGGUGAAAUCGAGACGUUGGAUGACUACUGAGCACCUGCCAGUGGACUGGCCAUCCCUCUCCUGUCUGCCGACUAUGGAGUCUCCACCUUUGGACGCAACACUUACUCACCAUUUACUCUUUAUCACUGCAACAAAUCACAGAACCGAUCAUCUCAGGCUUUUUCUUCUGGCCCUUUGUGUCCAAGAUUCUUUAAUCCAUUUUUGUUGGUGAACAUCUCAGACUAUAGAUAAGUGGACUGGACCCUGUGUCUUGGGGGUGGCAGUUGGGAUUACUCCCCAACAAGGCUGAUUUUGGGCAGCAUGUGUUCACUGUGCUGUGAUUUCAUCUACUGUCUCCCAGAAAGUGUGUUGGGAUCGGCCAUUAGCAGCUUGCUUUCUCUUGUCACUUUUUUUCUUCUAUUUUGUUUUUUCUUCUUCUUUUUCCCCCCAUCAGGGCAAAUGGUCUAACUGGUGCAAUCAUGAAGAGAGUUAAUGGUUAACAGACAUUGGCCAAUAACAAAACACCCCACGGACUGUGACUCGAGUAUCCAACAGGCAGUCAGAGCUCUCCCGGUCUGAAAGUUGCAUUGCCACUGCUUACUUUGGGAUUGCAUCAGAGAGGCCCUGAGUGGGGUUGAGAUGAGGUUGGAUUGGUUUGAUGUUACACACUCCUCACUUGUUCUUUCUGAGCGUCCUUUCUCUGAAAGGAUUUAUGUUUUUCUUCGUUAGAUAGUGACUUCUGAGCAAGCUGAUUUCCCCUGGCAUACUCCAACCUGAUUGGACAAAGGAAGCUCUAUGGCCUGGGAGAGAGACUAUUCUUAAUUUUUCUUUCUUACAAAAACUGAUUUUUCCCAUAAAUAUUUUUACUUCAGAGGACUAGGACCAUUUUGUUUUGGGCCCUUCUGCUGAAAAUUUGUCUCGUUUAAGAGGCAGCUAGAAUCUUUACCAUAUGUAUGAAUUUGUAUAAUUUCAUUUUUGGAUAGGGAUAAACUUUUGCUUCCGAUAAAAGCCUGGAAUUUCAUCUGGUCCUCAGAGCAUUGCGUGUGUGUCUUGCUGUAGCCCAGAAAAGGUUUUGUGUAAAGAUUCUGGGAUGGCAAGUUGUUUGCCUUUUCUGAAAAGAGAACAUACAGAACCUGUCCAUCUUUAAGACCUUCAUCCAUGGAAUCUACUAUACAGGAGGAUGCAGUGGGCUGGAGGGGAUGGGCAAAAAUGGGAGCGGGAAGCCUGGCCUGGCUUCUGGUCAUGGCCUCCUAAAACCUUAAACUUCAAGUAGAAAUGUACUCAAGCCCUAUUUAUAAACAAAUACUUUUCCUGCCUCCACCAAACCCCUACAGAACAUCACCUGGAAUUGCCACUCACACUGGGUUGGAGUCAUUGGGCAGCUGUGCCUGUGCGAGAGGUGCUAUGGUCUGGGCAGCCCCUGGAAAAGCACCUUUGCUUCCUGUCAUUGUUGCCUGAAGAAGGCUGGAGUUGCUCUGAGAGCAGUUUGGGUUUGGAGUAUUAUAUUUGGCUUCUAUUUUUAUUAUUUUUGGAUCACCAUUCUCCCUAUCCCUUCUUGCCUCCCUCCCUUCUAAACAUGUAUAAUAACUAUACAGAGACUGCUACAAAAUUGUAUAUAGUUUUUGGAUCAAAUAGCAUGAGGGGAGAGGAAACCAUUAAAAAUUGGGGCUCCUACUCUCCUUUGCUUUGUAAAUUCAAAAGUGGGGGGUGGGUUAGAGGGAUAGUUAAAAUGUUUACAAAACUUUAGGCUCCCUCGGAACUUUUGCCAGUGUGGAGGAAAAUAAAAAAGAACUUAAAUAAAA